AGACAACGCACCGAGAACGAAAUAUUUCAGGCCCGCUUCCGUCGAGCGGACGCUGUCGCGGUUGA
rnacentral:sRNA from 1 species